rnacentral:pre_miRNA from 1 species
UACUCCAGAGGGUGUCAUUCAGGUAAACUAAAGCAUGUCUGUCACCUUCUUGAGUGGA